UGCAUUGUAUCAAUUUUAUUUUUCACUGUUUAAUUAAACUAAUAAGGUAAUUUUUUUGUCUCACAGAAAAGUUGUGGAUUUUGUCAUUGAAAAUUAUUUCCGGGAUUUAGUCAACAAGACCAAGAAGUACUUGUCUCCAAGGCGAGAGGUUCCUGAUCACGUCCAGAAACCUAACUAUGCAGAGAAUGGUGUUCCUCUGUCAGAGAUAAAAUCCAAGCAAAGCAUGCAGAUAAGAGUUCUGAAUGAGGAGGAAAUUGAGAAGAUGCAGGUGGCAUGCAGGUUGGCAAGGGAAGUGUUGGAUACAGCAGCAAGGCAUAUUAAAGUUGGUAUCACAACAGAUGAAUUGGACAGGAUAGUACAUGAGGUACAGAAUAUAAAUAAAUACACAGUUUGUCU